UCCUGGAUGUCAUUGUCUAUGGUCCUGGAUGUCAUUGUCUAUGGUCCUGGAUGUUCCUAGUUCCCGUCUGCUGUUUUUCCCCAGUUCCUGUGUGUGUUUUUGCCCGUUGGCCUUUGCUUUGUUUCCUUUUUGACUAUUAAAGUCGUUUUUGCUUUUGAACUCGCAUCCCUGACACAGCAGUCCUAAACUGACCUGGAUUGUGCCUUAAUUGAACAUCCUGCAGGCAGAACACGAUGAGGAGCCUGACAGUGCUGAUCCACAGCCUGGGUCACUGCAGAGGGGCCAUGAAGGUCUUGCUGCAGGUCUUCUUCUGGACAGGAAGAAGCAAUGAAGCUACCUACAUGCAAUGUCUUUCAACUGGCUUCAUUUUUUCCAAUUGACAUACUUGAUGCACAUCUCAUGUGUUUAUUCUUAAACAAGUGUGCACUUUUAGAUAAUCACAAAUACAACACAGUAAAUAGA